AUUGAACGCUGGCGGCAGGCCUAACACAUGCAAGUCGAACGAGUGGCGGACGGGUGAGUAAUGUCUGGGAAACUGCCUGAUGGAGGGGGAUAACUACUGGAAACGGUAGCUAAUACCGCAUACCAUCAGAUGUGCCCAGAUGGGAUUAGCUAGUAGGUGGGGUAAUGGAUCACCUAGGCGACGAUCCCUAGCUGGUCUGAGAGGAUGACCAUCCACCCUGGAACUGAGACACGGUCCAGACUCCUACGGCAGGCAGCAGUGGGGAAGAUUGCACAAUGGGCGCAAGCCGGAUGCAGCCAAGCCGCGUGUGUGAAGAAGGCCUUCGGGUUGUAAAGCACUUUCAGCGAGGAGGCGUUACUCGCAGAGGAAGCACCGGCUAACUCCGUGCCAGCAGGCGCGGUAAUAC
rnacentral:rRNA from 1 species